AGCGACCAGAAGCGGAAAAGGAAAGGGAGGAGGAAGUGCAAAGGUAAACAGAGCGUUCUGCUGCAGGAAAGGAAUGUAAGGCGAGUUGUUAUGGUAUCGAAGCAUGUUUGAAAUGCGUGUAUAGAUCAGAUUCGGCCGAGUGUUAAGACGUGCAUAAUGAAUCAUUCUCCUGCUGCCACCUUCUCUCCACAUUCAAGGUAUCAAGAACUAAAAGCAAAAAAUAAAAAGUCCACCAAAAAAAGCCAUAAGGAGAAGUACAGACUAAAAUGUCUCCGUUUGAGACGUGUUGCCAAAGCUAUGGUAUUUGAAAAUGCUGCUCUUUGUGAUGAAAUCGCACGUAUUGAAGAUAAAUUUAUCAAAGCGAAGGAGGAAAGAAGAUUUUUAUUAAAAAGACUGCUACAGUUGCAGACUUUAAGUGAAGAAGAACCAGGCACAUCACAUAAUUCCAACGUGUCAACUGGUUACAGUGUACCAGACAUGGCAGGGAUGAAUGAAGGAAACCUUGAUAUGUGUUUUUCAAGCGUUCUUGAUGAUGGAGGUUCAUGUAAGAAGAUAAAGAAGGAUAAAAGAGAAAAGGGAAAGGAAAACAAAUCAGAAGCUAUGAAGAAACCUUCUAAGAAAAAAAGAGUUACAGAAGGAACCACUAGAAAGUGGGUUCAGCCUAUUGCUUUGGAUCAAUGUGGAAGGCCUGUGUUACCAAUAGUUUUAAAAGGACUGACAGUGUAUAGCCUUGGCGAGAUCAUUUCAGACCGUGCAGAAUUUCAUGAUAAAGUUGCCAUUUAUCCUGUAGGCUUUUGUAGCACUAGAGUUUACGUUAGCAUGAAGAACACCGAUCAAAAAUGUCUCUACACUUGCCAGAUAAAAGAUGGUGGCACAAGACCACAGUUUGAGAUUGUACCAGACGAUGAUCCUCAGAAUUCCAUUGUAGCAAAUUCGGCCAAUGAAUGCCAUUCCAUCCUUCUGCAAAAAAUCAGCACUUCAUUAGGAAAAAGGUUUUCUACACCGGAUCUUGCAGGAGCAUAUUUCUUUGGAUUUACUCAUCCUACUAUUCAGAAUUUAAUACAGAGUUGCCCCGGAGCACGAAAAUGUACAAGGGAGGCGUGGCUCAGGGGGAGACGAGAUGCACUGUACGCCGCUGAGUCGAUACCGUGCCCUGGGGAAUCCCUGCGAGAGACCCGCAGCACUAGCCAUCACAGAGGCUAUUAGCCGCUGAAUCGCUUCCGUGCCCUGGGGGAUACCUGCGAGAGGCCCGCCGUACCAGUACCCGCAGUACCGGCCAUCACAGAGGCUAUCCGCCGUGAAAAACCACGCACCAGAAAGUACGCUAGAGAACCUCUUCCAUAUCCUAGGUGAUUCUUGCUAUAGGCCCGCAGCACCAGCCACUACAAAGGCUAUUAGCCGCUACAGCAACGCACCAGGCAAUUGUAAAUAAUGCAAGCUGCCGUACCCGGGAUGAACAGCUGAACUGCGGCUAACAUUACUAAGAGUAGCACUCUGCACGCUACUUCACUCCGGGUGAGCCAGAAGAGAGGGCUACACCAACGAUCAUCAAAGCUUCUAUUAGCUUCUUUAGCAGCGCAGCUUAUAACUAUAGGUAUAACCUAUAACUGCACAAAGCUGAACUCGGAGAAACACUGUGAGAAAUUCUCAGCCCUGGCUACACCUGUGACACGCGCAUAUAGCAUAAAUCGGCUGAACAGCAGAACCGCUGUAGUAAUUCCGGAUGAGCUAUGCGGAAACCCGCAGCACUAGCAAUUAAACCAGCCUUCAACCAGUCAUUAUCAGCUGACCUAGUUGCCAAAGAUACAACUGUUGCACUUCACUGAACCCUGUGUAAGUCCUGUAAGAGGUCCUCAGCUCAGGUUCUACUAACUGCUAAAUUUGUUGAAUCCAAUGGGGAGAACGGGAACAGUGAAGGACAAACUCCCUGCAAUAAAAAUAUCUGAGGCAAAGUCUCCAGGAGUACAAUUGCUUGUGGUUAACUCGCCAGCAUUAAAGAAAAAGGCGGUGAACUCUCCGGCAAUUACCCAGCACCAAGGAAUGAGGGAAAUGGCAUUGGGAGAACUGGCUCCAUUAUUAACCUAAAGGAACUGCACGAGACAGUACUGCUGUGGUGGCUGGUUGCAUGGAGAGGGAGAAGGAAAGAGAGGGCUAUAAGCUGCAAUUGAUAGAAGACUCUGAAAGUGAAAAGGAGGAGCUUUUCACUUUCAGAGUGAAGCUGACAUAAAAGCUAUGCUGCAGGAUGUGGCUAUGUCCAUCAAGGAAGACAUACAGGAGUUAAAGAGGGAUAUGAUAGCUCUCUCGUCACGGACAGACAAUGUGGAACAUAAUACCAGUAAGUCCCUUAAAAAAUCAAGCAAUCAUUUACAAGCAAGUCAGGCAACAAGAUAUCGCCAUAUAUGAACUACAAAGACAAAUAGAAGAUCUAGAAAACAGAAGCAGAAGAAACAACAAACAAGUAAGGGGAAUCUCUGAAGCAGUCCAAUCACUACAGCAAAUUUUUAACAGUAUUCUGAAAAGAGAUCUAAAUAUGGACAUCACAAUAGAAAGAGCCCACAGGGUGUUUAAAUCAAAGGCAGCUCCUCCAAACGCUCCAAGGGACAUCAUCUAUUGCCUGCACAGUUUUUCCUUGAAGGAAACCAUACUCUCUAAAGUGAGAGAGAUAAGUAAUCUCGCAUAUGAGGAUAAUAAGAUUACUCUAUUUCAAGAUCUCUCUCAAAUCACUUUAUCAAAAAGGAAUCUCCUUAAACCUCUUACUGACUUACUCAAAAGUAACAAUAUCCUCUAAAGUUGGGGAUUUACAUUUUCUCUGCAGGCUUCUAAGGAUGGGAUAGCUGCAGUAUUAAGAUCUCCUUCCGAUACAGAUAACUUUCUCAAGAAACUACAACUCCCUGCAAUUGAACUACCGGGAUGGUCUACAGACAUCACCAAACUUCCUAACCUCUCAUUUGAGAUUCAAGGAAAAUGGUCACAAGUUCCACAACGAAAGAGCACUCCUUAAUCUAAAUCUUGGUGAAUGUACCCGUGAGACUAUAUUUAUUAUUUACUCGAACUGCUUACGGAACAAGACAUCACCUUCACCACUGUGUUACCAGUGGGUGAAGUUUGAAGUAUGCAAAGCUGGCGAAGAGCAAGUUCCUCAUGACAUUUGUGAGAGCAGCGCUUCAGUUAACUUUGAAGCCUUUCAAAGACAGAGUUUUGAAUCUAUUAAAAAUAGUAACGU